UACGGAGGGUGCAAGCGUUAUCCGGAUUCACUGGGUUUAAAGGGUGCGUAGGAGGGCAGGUAAGUCAGUGGUGAAAUCUCCAAGCUUAACUUGGAACUGCCGUUGAUACUAUCUGUCUUGAAUAUUGUGGAGGUGAGCGGAAUAUGUCAUGUAGCGGUGAAAUGCUUAGAUAUGACAUAGAACACCAAUUGCGAAGGCAGCUCACUACACGAAUAUUGACACUGAGGCACGAAAGCGUGGGGAUCAAACAGG
rnacentral:rRNA from 1 species